rfam:Ovis aries breed Texel chromosome 12, whole genome shotgun sequence.
UCCCUGGUAGCUCAGAUGGUAAAGCGUCUGCCUACAAUGUGGGAGACCCAGGUUCAAUCCCUGGGUUGGGAA